GUGAAAAUUUGCAGUCGUCCAAAAAAAAGUACUAGAAGAGUGUGCACUACAGAAUGAAAAAAACUCAUGCUGCUGAGUGCAAGAUCCAGAACUGUUGAGUUUCCGUCUCAGAGUUGAUCUACAGCUCCACCAUGACCUUCAUUAACAAAAGCAGAUCAGAUGGUGCCAGUCAGUGCACUGGGCUGUUCAAAACAGCAAGGAGAGGAGACAGCUCGGUGCUCUGUCACCGCAGUUCAGCUGGAAAAGGCAGGAACAUGGGAUACUGAAGCACAGCUCGCUUUCCCCGCCGCGCUGGGACGGCUCACUGACCGCUGCUGCUGCACCUCACCCGGAGCCACACGCCGGGGCCCCGCCGCUCCCCUGAUGCGAGUCCUGCCCGUGGGUCUGCGUAGCCGCGGCACAGAUGGAAGCUUCUCUCACGAGCAGCAAGGUCAAGACAGUAAGCCCAGCUCUCUACAUACUGGCUACUAGCUGAGGCAGAGCCUUUGAUGU